rnacentral:lncRNA from 1 species
GGCACAUUCAUUCAUUCCUUUCAAAUCAGUACUUGUUCGAUCAUUCUUUUUACAUGAAUUGCAUGGUACGUACAUGAUGUUUAUUAUUUAAUUUAAUUCCAUGACACAUUUAAUUAAUUAUAUAUCAAUCAAUCAAUCAAUUAAACCCUUCCAGGAGACCUUGGGUCAUGGUGGUUGUUUGCUCCAAUUCCUGGGUAAUCUGUGCUUUCCAAAACCAUUCUUCCCUCUACAACUCCUUCCACCAUUAACAUAUCUCCUUCUUCUACCAUCAAUUCCUACACCAACAAAUUCAUAUAUUAAUUAUAUCAUAUAUAUUACAUACUAAAUAAAUAUACAUAUAUAUUAAUUCUACUAUUAUUAAGAAAAUAAAUAAUUAAUUAAACCAUGAUUUAACAGUGAAGAAUCACCUAGACCAAAGUCACAUAACAAAAUCAAAUAUUUACAUCGUCCUAAUUGUCGCUGAUGAAUUCAAUCUCAUCCUCAUCCUCAUCCUCAUUCAUCGGUCAGAGAAUUCAAGCCAACUUGUAACUCUUUUUUCAUAAAUAUGGUCUGCAUCUUUUUUGGGUGAAUUGUUUUGAUCAACAACUUUACUGUUCCGAUCCUAUAAUAGAUGAAAUAAAUUAAAAAAUAAAAGAAAACACAGGCAAGUGAAAGUGAUUCUAUAAGUCGGCCUCACCUCAUUCUAUUCCAUUAAUCAAAAAGAAGUUAUCCCACCAAAAAAGAAAAGAAAAAUAGCACAAAUAUGAAACUAUAAAAGAGAAAACAAAACUCAAUUAUCCACAGAACCAUAUCUAAUUUACCAACAAUUAGUAAGAACAUAGAACAUACUUCCAGUAAAAUAAGGUCCAUGAAUUCCGGAAUCGAAAAAAGGCUAGAACAUUACUGAGAGCCUGCAUGAGGGGUAUCAAUGACUAAUAGAAAUAAAUUACUUAGAUCUCAGCCUCAUUUUCCGAUGCUUCCUCUUCAACCUCCUCAUUCUUUUCUUCUUCGGCUGCAAAAUCAUAUCCAAUUUCAAACGAUCAAUUGAACACUAUGAAUAAUCACCUAGACCAACCAAACCAUAUACCAAAAAUAUACUCAAAUGAACCUUACAACUUACCUAAACUGAAGAAAACAGGACAGAGAAACGUAGCAAUUUACCUUUAAAUUCCUCCACAGAGAAGCAAAGGUGUCAUACAUGCUCUAAACACCAACUCUUCUGUAAGUGGUGCCUGUUUGAUUAAGUAAAAUUCUCAAAGUUUAAAUAACAACCAAAACGAUAACUGGCAACUGGAAAAUAACAAUCAGUGAAAUCAGAAACUUGUAAUCCAUGUGAAAAGUUUAAGUAAAGUAAGAAGACAAAACUUCUGGUUUACAUUCCUCUUUAAGUAUCCUAAACCAAUUUAUUACUAAUUUGAUCACCACCACUUGUAUUGAUUGAUGGGUUACCAAACUAUUUUCAUGGGUUAGAUAAAAAUUUAUAUUUAUUGCAAGAAGAACUUCCAUUGGAAGUUGGUCACGAUAACGGUAGGCAAAAGUUUUUUGCCGAAUUAUUUGCAGCUUUCAGUUCAAUUCAAUACUUGCCUGAGAAGGUAUGAAUAACUUGGUAACACAACAAUUCAGUAGAGAAAAAAAAAGGGAUUUCCAUAAGUACCAAUUCAGUAACAUAAUGAAAUUAAAAAUCCUAUCACGGGUAAAGAAUUCUAGGUACAUUCAGAAACAACGAAAAUACCAUUGCCAUCACCAAAUAGGCCGUGUUUUUAAGAAAAAAUUUACAUGCUAAUAUUGGCCCACUAUUCAAAUUAGAUGUGCAAAACAUGCAUUUUUGCUAUUGUUGAGUGGAUAUGUUGCCCAUGAAUUAGGCGGAUGCUCUAAGAGUUUAGGAUGGUCUUGAUUCCAAAAACACAAAAUAUGGAUCUUUGUAUAUGCAUGCACAUUACAGAUGCUAUCAGUAACAUAAUAAAAAAAAGGGAUUUCCAUAAGUACCAAUUCAGUAACAUAAUGAAAUUAAAAAUCCUAUCACGGGUAAAGAAUUCUAGGUACAUUCAGAAACAACAAAAAUACCGUUGCCAUCACCAAAUAGGCCGUGUUUUUAAGAAAAAAUUUACAUGCCAAUAUUGACCCACUAUUUAAAUUAGAUGUGCAUAACAUGCAUUUUUGCUAUUGUUGAGUGGAUAUUUUGCCCAUGAAUUAGGCGGAUGCUCUAAGAGUUUAGGAUGGUCUUGAUUUCAAAAACACAAAAUGCAUCUUUGUAUAUGCGUGCACAUUACAGAUGAUAUCAUCAAUGCAGAUAAGCACAAUAAUCACAGACUACAGUUCAUAGGCUAGAAUAUAAGCCUAUAAAAUGGUGAUUGAAAUCAAAGUUGCACUAAACCUUAAUUACUUACCUGCAGUAUCUCAAAAUCCAAGGUUAACAGUAUUCUCAUUCACUACCACAUUAGCACUAAAGUUGUCAAAAAAUGUAGGUGCAUAAUCCUAUGAUCAAAUUAAAAGGAAAAAAUAAAAUAAAACUAAUCCAUGCCUCAACACUGAUUAGGCCAUCCUUAAUUAGGCCAUCCCUCAACACUGAUUUUCCUCCAAUCUUUACAGAUAUACAGUUAAAAAAUCACAUUCAGAACAUUAAUUAAAUAAAUUAUUGAAAAAACUGUCAUACAUGGAAUUAGCUAUAAAUACCUGUUGGAUGCAAUUUGUAGCAAUCCUACACAAUAUAUACAAAUUGGCAUAUUAAAAAAUUGAAUCAACUGAUAAUAACUCAAGAAAUAUGUUAAGGAAUGGAAUCAAUAAAGUACAUAGCUUUGGAGGCAAGGUUUGCUGCAAAACGAUACAUAUAUUUUUGUAAUUGUUGAAGAAACUUUGAGGUAAUGCACGGGAAAAAUAAUUCAAUCCGUUAUUUUUUCUGAAUCUAAGGAAGACAAGUCAACAAAUUUAUGACCAUAUUUGAAUGAAAAUGUGAAUGUUAUCCUCAAAUAUAUCAAUCAUCUGAGGCAUAUGAACAGAUUUGAAAGAUCCAAAAUAAAUCAGUGAAUUAUGUGGAAAACAUACAUAUUUGCUAACUCAUGUUGCAUCCGGUUUCCCUCCUAGCUAAGAAUAUGUUCGAUGCACGGAUCAAAAGACUUCCCAAAUCUAUACGACUACCAACAGCAAUUCCUGCAAAUUGAAGCAACUCAUCAAUUUAGCAAUGCAUAUAACUGUAUAUGUAGCACAUCCAUAAAUUACAAAAUCCCAAGAAUAUAUGAAAAUUUAUACAUAAAUCAUAAAGAUUAGUACGUUAUAUGGAAAAUAUGCUAAUAGUUUCAAUGUAUGUGCUAUAACAGCAGUCAAAAACAGAAAAUGCAUUUGAAAGGAAGGCCCCCAUGGAAAUUUACUAUAAAACAGAGCAGUUGCUGAUACCUGACAACAAUUACACAGCUAUCUGAUAAUGACUGAGAGAGAGAGACUAUAUCUAAUAAUUACCUGCUGCAAGGUUUAUCCGAAGUAAUUUAUUAAGCCUUCGUGUCGCUGCCAGGUAUAAUGUGAGAAUAUCAGGAAGUUUUAUAGACCUCUACCAAAAUUAACGCAAGACUAAACCUCUGAAGUGCAUAAAGAAGACUAAGAAGAACAACAACAUCCAGAACAAAGUAUAAUACACAGGCUAGAAUGGAUUGAGUUGGUUACCAAAUCCAUCGGUCUGAUGAUGAGAUUGAGUAGGAUGUCGCCGAACUCAAGAGAGGAUUUGGGUGUCGAAAUCAAGAGAGGAUUUGGGUGCCUGGCCUGAAAAUAAUAGGGUUUAAACCCCCAAAUUGGCAGAGAAGAAAUUUGUUUGAAUUUCUAUUGAAGAAGAUAAUGAAUGCGACUGGAGUGAGAAGAGAAGAAGAGUCGAUUGAAGUAGAGGAAAAUGAAUCGAUCACUUGGUUUUCAAAUCGACUGAGUUAAUUUUAUAAUUAACUGAGUUAACUCUCCU